rnacentral:rRNA from 1 species
UGGGGAAUAUUGCACAAUGGGGGAAACCCUGAUGCAGCGACGCCGCGUGAGCGAUGAAGGCUUUCGAGUCGUAAAGCUCUGUCCUAUGGGAAGAUAAUGACGGUACCAUAGAAGAAAGCCCCGGCUAAUUACGUGCCAGCAGCCGCGGUAAUACGUAAGGGGCGAGCGUUGUCCGGAAUUAUUGGGCGUAAAGAGUGCGUAGGCGGCAACUUAAGUCAGAUGUGAAAACUAAGGGCUCAACCCAUAGAUUGCAUCUGAAACUGAUAUGCUUGAGUCAAGGAGAGGAAAGUGGAAUUCCUAGUGUAGCGGUGGAAUGCUUAGAUAUUAGGAGGAAUACCGGUGACGAAGGCGACUUUCUGGACUUGAACUGACGCUGAGGCACGAAAGCGUGGGGAGCAAACAGG